CCUACGGGUGGCAGCAGUGAGGAAUAUUGGUCAAUGGGCGCGAGCCUGAACCAGCCAAGUAGCGUGAAGGAUGACGGCCCUACGGGUUGUAAACUUCGUUUAUAAAGGAAUAAAGUGAGGCACGUGUGCCUUUUUGUAUGUACGUUAUGAAUAAGGAUCGGCUAACUCCGUGCCAGCAGCCGAGGUAAUACGGAGGAUCCGAGCGUUAUCCGGAUUUAUUGGGUUUAAAGGGAGCGGAGAUGGGUUGUUAAGUCAGUUGUGAAAGUUUGCGGCUCAACCGUAAAAUUGCAAUUGAUACUGGCAGCCUUGAGUACAGUUGAGGUAGGCGGAAUUCGUGGUGUAGCGGUGAAAUGCGUAGAUAUCACGAAGAACUCCGAUUGCGAAGGCAGCUUACUAAGCUGCCACUGACAUUGAUGCUCGAAAGUGUGGGUAUCAAACAGGAUUAGAUACCCUUGUAGUC
rnacentral:rRNA from 1 species